UAGCUCAGUCGGUAGAGCACCAGACUCUUAAUCUGGUUGUCGCGGGUUCGAGCCCCGC
rnacentral:ncRNA from 16 species